GCCAUGCAAAGUCCCACGCUCCGCUGUCCCGGGGCCGCAUCCUCCACGCGCUUCCACAUCCCGGGGCCACACGCGCCGUGUCUUGUGCUUUUCCCUGGAGGUCCUAGUGCGCCGCUGCUGGUGAGCCCCUCUUGCUACCACGGGACACGGGCUGCACGCGCCUUGCCACGUCAACUUCUUAGGGUCAGCAACGGCCACGCCAGGUGCCUCUCCCUCCAGGUCCGUGUGCAUCACUGCCCCAGAGUCCGCGUGGCCCAGCCGCCCGCACCCCGGCCCAGGCUGGGCGCUCGCAAUGGGUCCUGGGCUCCCGGAGUCCCGCACCCGGAGGGCAGGCAGCCGGCCAGGAGCGCCAGCUCGCCUCAGAGUUGGUGGGAGUCGCGCUUUUGCCCAGGUUGGGUUGGAGGGCUCUGCCUGAGAGGGCGCCCCCGCAGAGCCGGCCUCUUAGAGUCGCUUGCCUCGCACCUCCUUUCCUCUUUUCCUUCCAGUCUCUGCCGCUUUUCCCACCAUCAGAGAUUCAGGAAGGGCUGUGAAGCAGCUCUGCCGUGGGCGACCACGACAGACAAGGACCUGCCCCCUAGAACUCACCUUCUGCUGGGGGAGAGGCAGGACCAGGAACACCCCUAACUGCACAGCUGCAGUCUGUGAGAAGGGCAAGGAAGAAGCCAGAGCGGGGUGGGGGUACAGUGAGGGGCGGGACCACUUUAGAUAGGCCUCCGAGGAGGGGGUGUUUACGCUGACCGUGAACGAGAAGAGGGAGCCCGUCUUUGGAUGAUCUGGGAGAGAGCUUUCCAGGUGGAUGGAACAGCAAAGGCAAUGGCCGCGAGGGCACGAAGGGUUACCCAGAGCUGUCCACGCCGUUUGUCCAUUCUUCCCCUUGAGAUGAAAAGGCUUAGAUUUGCAAGACAACUGGCAUUCUGCCUUCUUUCUGUGCCUCCCUCUGCCUGGAAUGAUCUUCCCAUAGGCUUCCACAGAACCGGUUCCUUCAGGUCGCCGUCAAUGGUCACCUCAGGACUCCGGGAGCCGGGAGCCGGGCGCAGCCAGUGAGGCUGAGGUGUGCAAAGGGACAACUUUCUUUAAGUCUUUAUUUUAAAAGUUGGUAUUUUGCUCACCAUGGAUUGGUUUUGCACUAAAUUUGAUUCUUAAAAAAUAUCAUAUCAAAAUUUUAUUUAUCUUGAUUCCUGAGCUUUUUGGCGCCUCCUUAAAUUUCACCCCCAGGCGAGAGCCCCACCGGCCUCAGUCCAGCCCCAGCUCAGCUCCUGGUCCAGGGUGCUGUGGACUGGGAGUCAGGAGACCUGGCUUCUGGUCCAGCUUGUGCCACUAGACCAGCUGUGUGACUGAAUGCAUGUACCCUCGGCGCCCUGAGCCGCUCAGCUGCACCAUCUCUCCAGGGACGGGCUAUUCCUGGCUCUAGUUCUAGAAUGAUCCAAGACACUCCUUAGAACUCUGAUAGGUUGUGUAUUGUAUGCAUCUCCUGGGGGCUUUGGGCCUGUUUUAGGCCUCUGACUCUGGCCAUUAUGUCACCGGCCUUUCCCCAUCCCAUGUGAGGUGAUCCUCUGUGCAAACACCACAUCUUCGUGGCUGCUUUGUGCAAUGAGCGUUGAUGCCCUUGUCGUUUUCCCCAUCCUGGGGGGAGUUUCAGUUUUGGAGGUGUGGUCGUGCCCUUUAUUCUUGCUUCUUGCUCUUUGGUUCCAAUCACUGGAUCAUGUGACACACCUUCAUUAGGAAGCUUCCCAAAUGCCAAGUGCUGAGCAACCACUCAGGAUACAAAAGAAACCUGUCCAGCCCUGGAAGAGCUGACGUUCUAGCGAGGGAGCCAGCACAUAAGCAGACCCGUGUGCUGAGAGAAGUGUGCCCGGGGUAGAGGACGUCCAGCUCAGUGAAGGUCACCUUGAGAGGACGGUGCACUGUCCUUCCUCCUGGGGGGACCCUGCAUCCUGGGGGCUGUCUCCAAGUGCCAGCGGCCCAGAGCAGUGGGCAGUCACCUUCCUAAUGGACUCUCCGCCAUAGAGAGCUGUGGUGUGACAUUUUGCAUCCACACUUGAAUGGGCGAAGCUCUGAGUUACAGCUUUCAGUUCCUUCUAACUCCCCAUCUCCCUCCAUCCCUCCUCUGGAUUGUGGCUUGUUCCUCAGUUGUUCCUAGUUCUGACAACCCUCAAAACCUGUUUCAAAGUGCACCUCCCUCUUUCAGUUCUCCUCCGCUGCUCCAGCCCUCAGGGGACUCUUCUCUCACUUUUUUUCCAAAGCCUUUAUCAACUAAUAGACCUUCUGCCUGGAGCUUAAUUAAGAUCGGUCCAGAGUUUCUUGUUGCUUCAGCAAAGCCGGAAUGUAAUGGUUCUUGCAGGGAGAGGGCACUUGCCUGGCAGUCAGUAACAGCUGGGAGGGCUCUGCUCCUCCACUCAGAGGGUACAAACAGAUGUAUCUGGCUAGCCUUCUGUGUUUUAAAAAUAAUGAAUUAUGUGCCAAUACUUGAAAAUCAGGAGAUCUCAAAUAAAACUCUGGGUUUUCGGCUUCCCUUGAAAACUUAGAAGUUGUGCCAACCCUGAGCCUACAUUCCUCCCUGGCAAAAAUUGGCUAGAUCUGGUAGCACCUUUUUCCUUAAGUGGGGCAUGGGUCUUCCAGUUUGCCACAAUCCCCACUACUCCUUAAUGUCUAACAUUAGGCUCCCUUUACUUAUCUACUUUACCUUCCUGGCCCCUAGAGGAUUUUGAGAUUUUAAUCCCUUCUAACUUUUUUCUUUAAGAGGGUAGACAGCUCAUCAGAGCACUAUGCACUGGCUGAUGCUUAGCAUGGCCCAAAGGGAGGCUGGGCAUCACUCUGAAAAUUGUUGGGGAGGUGGGGAGGGGACACUUAGGAGGGUGCUUGCUGUGAAUCAGUCUGAAGAGUCUUAGUAUCAACGAACUCCAGUGUUGGAACUUGGCUGCUACCAUGCUGCUUUACCUGGACAUGUAGAGAUAUACUUAGUGUGAACAUAAAACAAUAAAUUUAUAAAAAUUAACUAACUUAUCAAGAGCACUUACUAUGUGCCAGAUACUGUUCUCAGAUUUUUACGUUUAAUUUCACAAUAACCCUGUGUGGUCACCACUGUUACUUCUCCCAUUUUAGAGACAAGGGACCUGAGACGCAGGUAGGUAACUUGCUCGGGAAUGCACAGCCAGAAAACAAGAGGCUGCAAUUGCACCAGACACAGAAUGCCUGGAACCUGGAUUUUACCAGGAUUGGAGGUACCGGCAGGUGAUGGGUUUUUCUAUUGUUGUCUUCUCUGCAUCAUCCAUUUCCUGGGGCUGUAAUCUGUUUCCCUCCUGCCAGGAGGCUGUGAAGUUUGAGGCUUCCUUCCCUUGGCACCGGGCUGAAGUUAGCUGGCCCCCAGCUCUGCUACUGUAGGCUCUUUGAUCUGGAGACACACUGGACUACACGGCUUCAGCAAGAGGAGGACAGGGGAGGGCUGGGGCAAGAAAGCAGGGGCUUUGCCAGCCCAGACCAGGUCCCCUCAGACAGCCCAGGGAUCCCAGAAGUGCAGGGCCCACCUGCCAGCCCCUGGGCAUGAGCUCGUAGCCCCUGUGUCCCCACGUCUGAGGUCAGCGCCCGGAUGCUGAGCUCCGAGCAUCCGUCUUGCUGCAAUGGAAGAUUUGAAUCCCCUUGUCGUCACUUUGCAUUGCUUCUGGGCUGUGUUCCCUCUUAUUUCAUUUUCGUCUGAAAUCCUGAGCUCACCCUCCUCGGCAGCUGACGGGCCCAUUUAUUUCCAAGGCUGCAGCCAGUCGGAGGGCUGCCGACAGCUCCGCGGAGCGCUCUGGGUUUGUGCCACCUCGUUUUGUUCCUGCAGACAGGGCUGGGAGACCAGAGAACAUCUUCAUUUUGCAGCAGCAAAGCUGUCAGAGCCUUCAGCCUCAGCCCUCAUCCUCUUGGGCCUGAGAUGCAUUUGGUUUGCCCUAGAGGGCACUGCCCGGGUUGACUCUGUCCCUUGGUCUUUCGUCCUUUUGGACUCAAAACCUUGAGAGCGUGCAGCCUGUGCUUUGCAAAUGUCCUGUCAAAUGCCCCUGAUUUGUCACAGUUGGAACAGCUCCUAGAGAUCGUGUUGUCAGAUCUUCUCGCAGUGUUCAGAUAAUGAAACAAAGCCCAGAGAGGGCAAGAGACUCAUGGGGAAUUGCACAGCAAGUGAGAGGCAGAACAAAACUGACAGGCUCCGGCCCCAGCCAUUUCACAUUAUUCCAGUCCACCUCUUCAGAAUCUCAGAAGGCCAGCCUCAAGGGACUCCCCUCACGAGGCAUCAUCUACCUGCAAGGCUCCUCCGCCAGCACUUCAGGGCACUGCUGCUCCUCCCCUUCCGGCCUCAGCUCAGAUGUCCCCUCCUCAGGGAGGCCCGCCCCUCCUGCCUUGUCUGAAGCACCCUCCAGUCACUCUCCAUCACAUUCUCUGACAUCCUCCAUUGUUUUGUCCUCAGAGCUCUGAUCAGUACCUGCAAAGAUCUCCUAUCAGAGUUUAAUUUGCAUUUUUGUUGUCGCUCCCACCAGAAUGCGAGCUCCAUCUCCCACCAGAAUGCGAGCUCCACCAGGCAGUGACCGCGUCUGUGUCUGUCUCACUCGCCUCAACCUCUCCAGUAACCUCGCCAGUACCGGCACACAGAGGCGCCCCGCAUGUCUGCGCAUGUGGAGUGAAGGGAUGAAGGGAUUUCAGGGACUUCCAAUGGUCCCUAAACAAGAGCACAGUUUUCAUUUCUUUCAGCACAGAUCCACUUUGCGUCUUCUGGAAUUUCACGCGAAUGGAAGCUUACGGAGCGUCCUCUUUGGCGUCUGCCUUCUUUUCCUCAGCAUCAAGCUCCACGCUCAGCAUCCGUGUUGAGUCUCCUGUCUUCUGCCGGCAUCCAUAAAACUGCGGUGGGCUCACUUGCUAGCUUGCAGGUAGGGUAGAUCUCAGACCCUUCUCA